GCCUGGGUGGCUCAGUCGGUUAAGCAUCUGACUUCAGCUCAGGUCACGAUCUCACGGUUCGUGAGUUUGAGCCCCGCAUCGGGCU
rnacentral:tRNA from 1 species